rnacentral:rRNA from 1 species
AGUGAACGCUGGCGGUAGGCCUAACACAUGCAAGUCGAACGGCAGCACAGUAAGAGCUUGCUCUUACGGGUGGCGAGUGGCGGACGGGUGAGGAAUACAUCGGAAUCUACUUUUUCGUGGGGGAUAACGUAGGGAAACUUACGCUAAUACCGCAUACGACCUACGGGUGAAAGCAGGGGAUCUUCGGACCUUGCGCGAUUGAAUGAGCCGAUGUCGGAUUAGCUAGUUGGCGGGGUAAAGGCCCACCAAGGCGACGAUCCGUAGCUGGUCUGAGAGGAUGAUCAGCCACACUGGAACUGAGCAACGGUCCAGACUCCUACGGGAGGCAGCAGUGGGGAAUAUUGGACAAUGGGCGCAAGCCUGAUCCAGCCAUACCGCGUGGGUGAAGAAGGCCUUCGGGUUGUAAAGCCCUUUUGUUGGGAAAGAAAAGCAGCAGGUUAAUACCCCGCUGUUCUGACGGUACCCAAAGAAUAAGCACCGGCUAACUUCGUG